UUAUCAAAGAAGAGUUGUCUCCCAUGCAGUUCAAAGGAUUUACAAGCCAUGUCAGAGGAUUCUGCUAAAAGGUUGCUACAACAGGUGGCUGGUUGGGAGCUGAGAAAUGAGGGUGACAUUCUGAAAUUACACAGGGCAUGGAAGGUGAAGAAGUUUGCGAAAGGGCUUGACUUCUUUCAGCUUGUUGCUGCUGUUGCCGAGGAACAAGGUCACCACCCAGAUCUUCACCUUGUUGGUUGGAAUAAUGUGAAAAUUGAUGUGUGGACUCACGCAGUCAGAGGUAUAACAGACUUCAUCCUUGCUGCAAAGAUCAAUGAACUUGAGAGCUAG
rnacentral:rRNA from 1 species